rnacentral:rRNA from 1 species
CCCUUAGAUGUCCUGGGCCGCACGCGCGUUACACUGAUGCAUUCAACGAGCUUAUAACCUUGGCCGAGAGGCCUGGGCAAUCUUGUUAACGUGCAUCGUGAUAGGGAUAGAUUAUUGAAAUUAUUAAUCUUGAACGAGGAAUUCCUAGUAAACGCAGAUCAUCAAUCUGCAUUGAUUACGUCCCUGCCCUUUGUACACACCGCCCGUCGCACCUACCGAUUGGAUGGUCCGGUGAAGCCUCGGGAUUGUGGUUCUUGCCGCUUUAUUGUGGCGUGAACGCGAGAACUUGUCUAAACCUUAUCAUCUAGAGGAAGGUGAAGUCGUAACA